GAUGAACGCUGGCGGCGUGCCUAAUACAUGCAAGUCGAGCGAACAGACGAGGAGCUUGCUCCUCUGACGUUAGCGGCGGACGGGUGAGUAACACGUGGAUAACCUACCUAUAAGACUGGGAUAACUUCGGGAAACCGGAGCUAAUACCGGAUAAUAUAUUGAACCGCAUGGUUCAAUAGUGAAAGACGGUUUUGCUGUCACUUAUAGAUGGAUCCGCGCCGCAUUAGCUAGUUGGUAAGGUAACGGCUUACCAAGGCAACGAUGCGUAGCCGACCUGAGAGGGUGAUAGGCCACACUGGAACUGAGACACGGUCCAGACUACUACGGGAGGCAGCAGUAGGGAAUCUUCCGCAAUGGGCGAAAGCUUGACGGAGCAACGCCGCGUGAGUGAUGAAGGUCUUCGGAUCGUAAAACUCUGUUAUUAGGGAAGAACAAAUGUGUAAGUAACUAUGCACGUCUUGACGGUACCUAAUCAGAAAGCCACGGCUAACUACGUG
rnacentral:rRNA from 1 species